AUCGACUAAUCAUUCUCAUUAAUAAAAGUUUUUUCUUCUGAUAUUAUUAAAUGUGAAAAGUUUAUAUAAGAUGGAGAUAAAAAGAAUUGAGUUAAAAGAAGAAGUAGUCUUUUAAAUCAAUUUAUGCUUUUAUGCAAUUAUAUAAAUUUUACAUAGUUUCAAAUGUUUAAAAUGUGGUAUCUGCAUAUUAACUUUAUGUUAUAUGAUAUGAUGUCAAAGUGCUUAUAUUCUUUCAAGGACAUUGCCUUCUCUUUUCAGUUGUUACAAGUAUUAAAAAAAAGAACCGUUUAUAUAUUAUAUUUCCAUUCAGUCUCAUAAUGCUUAUAAGUUUCCAGUUCUCAAAGAGUUAAAGCCAAAUGCCAAAACACAGUGAUUAGAAGUUAUUAUUUCUGAAGUUAUUUAUUUUUUUUAUCUAAUACAGUUCAGAUGUCUCAUAAAGUCUGCCGGAGAAGGCAAACUCUUAGUUUCUCAUGAUAUACAAAAAGAAAAUCUUAUAUUGGACUUUGUGUAUUCAAAAUAGUGAACAUAUAUUUUUAUAGUUAAUUUUCACUACUUACUGUUUAUUCAGUUUUUUAAAUUUCACCAGAUGGGAUACCGCAAACAAAAGUGAAAGGCCAUUCAAUUUUUGUACAAACUGCUUUCAGAGUCUCCAAAAAUCCCUUUGAGGAAGCAAAACAUUCCUUUUACCCAACUUACAAUUUCUCUCUACCAUUAAAUAAAGUAAUUAGGUAACUAUAGUAUAAUAUAAAAAAUAACAACAGAGCAUGAUUUCUCCAGUCAAAGGUCUGACACUAUGAGAAACAGAUAUAACAAAACAAAAGAAAAAAAAAUUAAAGGAAGUUCUAUCUGUUUGCUGGUCCAAAAUUAUAUAAUUCCUAAAUUUUAAGAUUAGCAUAUACUGAUUUACUUUAUGUAUAUUUAUCCAUAAGUUCAUUUGUUCCAAUAACUAAUGUUCGUUAAACACUGUCACUAUCAGUGUCCUGUUUCUAAGCAGUGAAAAUACAGAGUGAUGAAGAUAAGCAAAAACCCCUGCCUCAUGGAAUUGAUCUUCCAGUGGUAGAGAUACACAAUAAAGAAAUGUUAUGUUGAUAAUUAAAAGCAAUAAAGUUACAUAGCAUGACUGUGGUUUUUACAUUAAAUGGUAAAAGAAAUUUUCUCUGAGAAUGUGACAUUUAAACUGUUGUCUGAAAAGCAUGAAGGAACCAGUCAAGAGAAGAUUGGAGGCAAGAACAUUCCAGGCAGAAAGACCAAUUUAAUGUGUGUGAGUUUGGAGUGUUUGAAGGUAGAGAGAAUGGUGUGCUUAGUACACGGCAGAAGAACUGAAGGAAGGCAAAAUGAGAGCAGUGAAGGAACAUUUAUGAGGCUACGGCAAUAGUUUAAGCAGAAAAAGAAAGUUGGCUUUUGUUAAAGUGGAAGUAGUAAAGAUAGAAGUGGAAACUGGGCUAUGUUUGAACCCAGGGCUUCCUAAUGAAUUGGGUUUGAGGUCUGAAAAAGGAAGAAAAAUCAAAGAUAAAUUAUAUUAUUUGGGGAGUGAGAGACUAAGCACUAGUGGGGAGAUUCGGGUUUGAAGGGGAAAAAUCAAGAGUGAGGUUUUAGCUACAUAAUGCCUGAGAUGCCUGUUAGAUAUUCAAAUGGAGAGAACAUGUAUAUAAAAGAGUUCCAAGGAGCAAUCAGGGAUAGACAUCAAGAUCUGGAAGUCAUUAACAUAUAAAUGAUGUUUAAAAUUUUGAAAUUACCUGGGGAAAGUCUAUAAGGUAGAGAAGUGGGCUGCAAUUGAGGUCUAAGGCAUUUCCAUUUGUGGAAAUUAGACGGAGAAUUGGAAGUCAACCUGGGACACUAAGGAGUAUAAGGUAACGUAGAGAAAAAAGAAAUCCAACUGGUCAUCUGGAUUAAAUGUUUAUAAGUAGCCACAGAUUUGGCACAUGGCAGUUAUUGGUGACCUUGACAAGGACAGUCUCUAUGAAAUAGUGUAGUCAAAGUCUGAUUGAAGUGGAUUAAGAGAUUGUAGGAAAGCUGGUGGAGUCAAUAUCUAUAAACAACUUUAUCAAUAAAUUUUACUCUAAGAAAUGGGGCAGUAGCUGGAGGGAGAUAUGGAGUCAAGAGAGGUUUUUGGUUGUGUGUGUGGGUGUGGGUGUGUUUAGAGAAAAGAUGCUAGAGUGUAUUUAUAUACUAAUGAGAAUGAUCUGGUAGAAAGG